GACCCGAGCGUCGUGGACGAGUAAGGGGACUUGGACUUGGGGUUACACCAUCAAAAGUAGAUGGAAAUACACAAAGCAGUGAGAAAGUGAGAGAACUUGAGAGCAAAUUACAAACUCAAUCAGUAAGGAUGGAAGCACUCGAAGAAAAGGUUGAAGCACUUCUAAAGUUAUCUCAAGUUAUACUUUGCUAUUACAUAUAAUAUGAUAGCGUAACUGAAUAUAUCUUAACAUUUUAAUAAGUUUUAAAUUUUUGUAUUAUUUUGCAGAAUCAAAAUAAGAAUGUAGAGGACAUGAGUUCACGUGCUUUUACUCCACAGGUUUUUGUAUCGUAUAUUAUUUGUUCAAUAUAAAUUCAGAUUAUAUCAUACUAGUUUUAAAAAUAUUUUUAUUUUACUGCGAAUUUGUAGUCCCAACAAGGAAGUGGUAUGGAGGGAGGUAUUGUACCAGUGAAAAAUGGAAAGUGUCAACUAUUGCACUGGUACAUGUUUGAGGAGGAAAUUGUAGGCGAAGGGAAGAUUGCAUCAAUAGACCCAAGUGCAAAGGUGCAUCACGUGCCACUAGGACGAGAUUGUUGGAAGGUUUGGGUUGACGAGGUGUACAUGAGUCAUUUGCCCUUAUAGACCAACGGAUGAAUUUCGAGUUCUUAGUGACGCCAUAGGAAGUACUAUUGCUUGGCCAAAGAGCUGUGUUAGACUUAUUUGAUGAAGGUACUUUAUAAAUUUCUACAUUUUUUUCAUUUAUGUAUUUGUCAUUAAACAUGUUUCAAGAGUGGCUAUAUAUGUAUGCAUACACAAUAUAGACAGGCUAUGUAAAAAGUUGAAUGAGUAUAGUUGUGUCUCAAAAAGCUUUAAAUGACAUUGUAUUGUUUCUUAAUUGCUUGCCCGUUUUGAUUAAUUUGUUGUUAUAUUCUUUCUUUCUUGCAGUUACAUGGAGCUGAAGUGAGUUCAAUCUCUUUUGUGCUUGUGUCUUCUUGGAUCUCGUCUACGUAAAAAGAUUGGGUUGGGACUCGUUUGAAGCUUCGGUUAUAAAUCGUUUACAUAACUUUUGGACACUUUUCAUAGUUCUUUGGUUAGAUGGUGUAUAUUUUUGAAUUGGAGUAUUUAUUAUGUUUUGAUGAAGUAAUAUUGUAAUUGGAUUAUGCUUAUUGGCUUAAAUGAAGAACUUUUAAUUUUUUAUUGUCUUAAAUUA
rnacentral:lncRNA from 1 species